UUAAUGACUCUCGGCAACGGAUAUCUCGGCUCUCGCAUCGAUGAAGAACGUAGCGAAAUGCGAUACUUGGUGUGAAUUGCAGAAUCCCGUGAACCAUCGAGUUUUUGAACGCAAGUUGCGCCCGAAGCCAUCUGGUUGAGGGCACGUCUGCCUGGGCGUCACGUA
rnacentral:rRNA from 1 species